UGCCCUAGUAACGGCGAGUGAAGCGGCAACAGCUCAAAUUUGAAAUCUGGCCCUAGGCCCGAGUUGUAAUUUGCAGAGGAUGCUUUUGGCAAAGCGCUUACCGAGUCCCCUGGAACGGGGCGCCACAGAGGGUGAGAGCCCCGUAUGGUAUGACGCCGAGCCUCUGUAAAGCUCCUUCGACGAGUCGAGUAGUUUGGGAAUGCUGCUCUAAAUGGGAGGUAAAUUUCUUCUAAAGCUAAAUACCGGCCAGAGACCGAUAGCGCACAAGUAGAGUGAUCGAAAGAUGAAAAGCACUUUGAAAAGAGGGUUAAAUAGCACGUGAAAUUGUUGAAAGGGAAGCGCUCGUGACCAGACUUGCGCCGGGCGGAUCAUCCAGCGUUCUCGCUGGUGCACUCCGCCCGGCUCAGGCCAGCAUCGGUUUUCGCCGGGGGACAAAAGCUUCGGGAACGUGGCUCCCUUCGGGGAGUGUUAUAGCCCGUUGUUUAAUACCCCGGCGGGGACCGAGGACCGCGCUUCGGCAAGGAUGCUGGCGUAAUGGUCAUCAGCGACCCGUCUUGAAACACGGACCGAGGAGUCAAGCAUUAGUGCGAGUGUUUGGGUGUAAAACCCGCACGCGUAAUGAAAGUGAACGUAGGUGAGAGCUUCGGCGCAUCAUCGACCGAUCCUGAUGUUUUCGGAUGGAUUUGAGUAGGAGCAUUAACGCUUGGACCCGAAAGAUGGUGAACUAUACUUGAAUAGGGUGAAGCCA
rnacentral:rRNA from 1 species